ACAUCCAUUGAGUCGAAGUCACGUAAUUUCAAAAAAAUGUGUUUGCAGUUUGGCAGAUGAAUUUUUACUGUUUAACAUUUCUGUUAACUAAAAUACCCUUCUCCCUAUUUUCUGUAUUCCUUAAAAUACCCUUUUUUUUUUUUCUUUUUUUUUUUCCAUAUUUUAAUACAUUGACCUAAUUGCAGCCGGCCGUAAUGCUCUUUCUGAUUCCUGUUCAUGCAAACCUCUCUCUCUCCCCCUCUCUGUAAAACCUCUAUCAGCUCAGCCCUAACCAUAUGAUGACUUUCAUCACCCUCCCUCUCUCCCCCUGUCUGUAACAACUAUCAUGCAGAGCCCUCUCUCUCCCCCCCUCUCUCUAACAUCCAUUUAAGCAUAGCCGUAACCCUCUUUUGUGCGCCCUCUAUCUCCCCGUCUCUGUAACCCAGCGUAGCAGCAUCCCCACUUCUCCACUUCUUUUGGGUGGAUCUCCCCCUUCGUUUGGGUCGUUGUGCUUCUGUGAACUGGCAGUUACAUGGACAAGUCUUGGAUUCAUCACACUAGGGGUAGUGUAAAGUAUUUUGAUGGCAUACACCACUUCAUUGAUGCGGCUAGAGAUGUUGAGAAUGAUGAUGGAAAUGACAUUCAAUAUAGUUCAGAUGAGGAACCAGAAUUACUGUCCGAAGAUGAUACUGAUUUGGCUGAUAUGUGAAGCUUUGAAUUCUUGAGCAUGUACCAUGGUUCCACCAACAACAGUCUCCAUCAAAUUCCUAGUAGGAGCAGUUUCCGCCACCAACAAGGUGGCAAUAUCAGCAGCCGCCACCAACAUGGUGGCAAUAUCAACACCACCAGCAAGCGCCACCACAACCACCACCAUGAUGACUAAUGCGAUAAAGAGAUAAAUUUUUUGGUACACAAAUUUUAGAGCUUUUUGAUGAUCAACUAGUUGAUUUCUAAACUCUUUAUCAUUUUUGGGUUGUAUUUUAAUGACUUUGCAUCUAGUUUGAAGAGGAUGGGAACCAUUUUUUUGUGCUAGCAGAUGGUUUUAGUUUUUGUUUAGAAAACUGGAUAUUUUAUUGAUCUUGAAUGUUACAUGUA